rnacentral:rRNA from 1 species
AGGAAUAUUGGUCAAUGGGCGAGAGCCUGAACCAGCCAAGUAGCGUGAAGGAUGACUGCCCUAUGGGUUGUAAACUUCUUUUAUAAAGGAAUAAAGUCGGGUAUGGAUACCCGUUUGCAUGUACUUUAUGAAUAAGGAUCGGCUAACUCCGUGCCAGCAGCCGCGGUAAUACGGAGGAUCCGAGCGUUAUCCGGAUUUAUUGGGUUUAAAGGGAGCGUAGAUGGAUAUUUAAGUCAGUUGUGAAAGUUUGCGGCUCAACCGUAAAAUUGCAGUUGAUACUGGAUAUCUUGAGUGCAGUUGAGGCAGGCGGAAUUCGUGGUGUAGCGGUGAAAUGCUUAGAUAUCACGAAGAACUCCGAUUGCGAAGGCAGCCUGCUAAACCGCCACUGACGUUGAGGCUCGAAAGUGUGGGUAUCAAACAGGAUUAGAUACCCUGGUAGUCCACACGGUAAACGAUGGAUACUCGCUGUUGGCGAUAGACUGUCAGCGGCUUAGCGAAAGCGUUAAGUAUCCCACCUGGGGAGUACGCCGGCAACGGUGAAACUCAAAGGAAUUGACGGGGGCCCGCACAAGCGGAGGAACAUGUGGUUUAAUUCGAUGAUACGCGAGGAACCUUACCCGGGCUUGAAUUGCAGACGAAUUGCUUGGAAACAGGCAAGCCGCAAGGCGUCUGUGAAGGUGCUGCAUGGUUGUCGUCAGCUCGUGCCGUGAGGUGUCGGCUUAAGUGCCAUAACGAGCGCAACCCUCGUGUCCAGUUACUAGCAGGUUAUGCUGAGGACUCUGGACAGACUGCCAUCGUAAGAUGUGAGGAAGGUGGGGAUGACGUCAAAUCAGCACGGCCCUUACGUCCGGGGCUACACACGUGUUACAAUGGGGGGUACAGCAGGCAGCUACCGGGCGACCGGAUGCCAAUCCCGAAAGCCUCUCUCAGUUCGGACUGGAGUCUGCAACCCGACUCCACGAAGCUGGAUUCGCUAGUAAUCGCGCAUCAGCCACGGCGCGGUGAAUACGUUCCCG